rnacentral:lncRNA from 1 species
UUAGUUAGUCACACAAUGUUUCACACAUUCAUUACGGUCUACCCAGCAAGGCUGAGAUUUCAAUAUAGUACAACAGUAACAUUUUUCCCAUCCCGUGGGAAAAUUACAAUGAAAUUUAAAGCAAAAAUCAACGACGAUCUUUUCGCUUGUAAUAUUUGAUUUCGAUUCCACCUUUCUAUCAAGAGUGUUUGAUGUGCCUGAAUCAUAACAAUAAAAUAAGAAAGUCAGUAUAAUGAAAUCAAUGUGUUUUUGUGUGCAUGUGAGAAAGAGAAAGAUAAACCGAGAAAGGAGCGUACAAUGACAAAGGGAGGCAAAAGAAGCCAUGAGAAUGAGGAAGAUAACUAGAAACCUACAACUAACGAAGGCCAUUUGAAAGGUAAUGAAAG